CCCCACUAGUGGUGUGUUUAGCCCUGCAAUGUACUUGCUAUUUCUGUAAAACAGCAAUGUUUUACAUUGCAGGACUAAAACUAUAGUGCCAAUGCACCCAGACCACUUCACUGAGAUAAAGUGGUCUGUAUUUCUAUAGUAGUCCCUUAAGCACUUUUUUCCCCCCCAGUGAUCACAAGCAAGAUGCAAGUGAUAGUAAACACUUAGAAAGCACUUUAGUUUCACUUUACGGCAAAGUCAUUUUCUUGGGUCUGGUUCUAGUAUAUUGACACGUAUGUGUUUUUUGUUUAUAUUUUGGUUUCAGCUAGAAGAGAAAACAAAAAAAAUACAUUUUGAUAUUAUGCUUAGAUAGUGGGCAAUACUAUUGAUAGGUAUGGAUUCUAAACUAUCAAAAGUCAAUUAGAAAAAGAUCUAUUUACAAUUCAUCCCUCUCCCGGAAAAGACAGAUUUACUCGUUUUUUUUUAUUUUUUUACUACUAAGUAAGUUUU